UACAGAGGUGGCAAGCGUUGUUCGGAAUUACUGGGCGUAAAGGGCGCGUAGGCGGCCUUCUAAGUCAGACGUGAAAUCCCCCGGCUUAACCUGGGAACUGCGUCUGAUACUGGAGGGCUUGAGUGCGGGAGAGGGAUGUGGAAUUCCAGGUGUAGCGGUGAAAUGCGUAGAUAUCUGGAGGAACACCGGUGGCGAAGGCGGCAUCCUGGACCGGUAUUGACGCUGAGGCGCGAAAGCUAGGGGAGCAAACGGG
rnacentral:rRNA from 1 species